CCCGCCGCGCGCGGCGGGCGGGGCGGGGGCACGGGGGGCCUACGGGAGGCAGCAGUGAGGAAUAUUGGUCAAUGGGCGCGAGCCUGAACCAGCCAAGUAGCGUGCAGGAUGACGGCCCUAUGGGUUGUAAACUGCUUUUAUAUAGGAAUAAAGUUCACUACGUGUAGUGUUUUGUAGGUACUAUAUGAAUAAGGACCGGCUAAUUCCGUGCCAGCAGCCGCGGUAAUAAU
rnacentral:rRNA from 1 species